rnacentral:rRNA from 1 species
GGCCCCUGUCUGCUCGGUUUUGGGUUGGGGUGACCGCGGAGCAUAAAAUAGCCUCCACGAAAGAAGGGAUGAUUCCCUCAUUUUAGAACUACACUUCCAAAGACUAACAAAUUAAUUUUAAGUGAUCCGAUACCCGUAUUCGAUCAACGAACCAAGUUACCCUGGGGAUAACAGCGCAAUCUACCUCAAGAGCCCCUAUCGACAGGUGGGUUUACGACCUCGAUGUUGGAUCAGGGUAUCCCAGUGGUGCAGCAGCUACCAAAGGUUCGUUUGUUCAACGAU